GAAAUGCGAUAAGUAAUGUGAAUUGCAGAAUUCAGUGAAUCAUCGAAUCUUUGAACGCACCUUGCGCUCCUUGGUAUUCCUUGGAGCAUGCCUGUUUGAGUAUCAUGAAAUCUUCAAAGUAAAUCUUUUGUUAACUCAAUUGGUUUCUACUUUGGUAUUGGAGGUCUUUGCAGCUUCACACCUGCUCCUCUUUGUUCAUUAGCUGGAUCUCAGUGUUAUGCUUGGUUCCACUCGGCGUGAUAAGUUAUCUAUCGCUGAGGACACUGUAAAAGGUGGCCAAGGUAAAUGCAGAUGAACCGCUUCUAAUAGUCCAUUGACUUGGACAAUACUUUUAUGAUCUGAUCUCAAAUCAUGUAGGACUAACCGCUGAACUUAAGC
rnacentral:misc_RNA from 1 species